rnacentral:lncRNA from 1 species
UUUUCAGCGGACACAACAUCUCUGUUUGUAUGUGGUGCUGAGGAUCCAACCCAGGCCGCACGCAUACCAGAAGAGCGUGCUACCGCUUGAGCCACAUCCCCAGCCCUCACUUGUUCUUAGUUGACUUAGAAAUCACUAAGUUUGGAGGCCAAACAGCUGGACAAGGCAUUAUUAGUCUCUCACUGACCUUGCUGUAGAUAAUACCUCCGGCAUGUGGUUCAUGAUAAUAAUAUUUGCGUAAGUACUAACUUAGGAACUUUAGGACUUGAAGACUGCUUUUGCUGAAAACACUGACUCUUCAUUUGGACCUGCUGAUGUCUGAUUGGAAUGGGAUAAAAAGGAAUCUCUGCCUUCACAUUCUGUCUCCUUUGUGCCUAUGAUGGGUUGGAGUCUACUCAGCUCUUCAUGUGGACAUGUUGGACAUUUGAGAAAUGUUUUGUCCAAAACUAUAAUAUAGAGAUAAUUGGUCCUAGAUUUGUUUAGUCUCUCUCUCCUCCCUCUAGGGCUAAAGACACCUACCAACAGCCAUUAUUGGAAGUAUAAGACCAUGAAAGGAGUGAAAAGAGGUGGCACUUGAGUUUCUGGAAUGUCUCCACCUAUUCCCAGAAAAGACAAGAGGAUUCCUCCCAUGCAUCAGCCUUUCUCUCUCCCUCAUCAUUCCUGCAU